UACGGGGGGAGCAAGCGUUGUUCGGAUUUACUGGGCGUAAAGGGCGCGUAGGCGGUCGUGACAAGUCACUUGUGAAAUCUCCGGGCUUAACUCGGAACGGUCAAGUGAUACUGUCGGACUAGAGUACAGGAAGGGCAACUGGAAUUCUCGGUGUAGCGGUGAAAUGCGUAGAUAUCGAGAGGGAACACCUGGCGGCGAAGGCGGGUUGCUGGGCUGAUACUGACGCUGGAGGCGCGGAAAAGCUAGGGGGAGCGAAACGGG
rnacentral:rRNA from 1 species